CGAAAGGUUCCGCAGCGCAGGAGCCUCAUGUUGCACGCACUCGAUGGAGAAAUGGUCCGCGUGGGUGCACCGAUUCCUCCAGCCCCACGAAGAGAGUGGCGCGGGUUCCAAGAGCCUAGCGUGAGGUGAGCCGGCUGGUUCAAGUCGGGUCGCCGCACUGACAUCAGCGUCAGCCCAGGACGCGCCAGCAUCGGCCGCGGGGGGGCUACGCUGGCCGCUCUGCCGCUCUUCCUGCCGCCGCUGUAGAGCCCGCGGGAUGCGCACCACGGGCAGGGGCUCGAUGGGACCGCGGACCGUCAGGUCCCGGCGAGGCGCCAGAAGCAACCGAGCCGCGAGCGACAACAGCCGCAGCCGCCGUGCGAGAGCCAUACACCCCUUGUUGCGGGAGAGGCGCACGACAGUGACGUCACAGGCGCGCCAAGGCCUCGCGGACGGUGGCCGGCGCGGCUCAGUAAGGCCCGCGGACUCGGCGAACUGUGUGGAAGGAGCGGGAUCUGUAGAGCUCAGCAGCGGCGAGGUACAAAACAAAGAAUCGCUUUGCACAAAGCCAGAAGGGAUACACUGAAAGAAUGAUCAGAAAAGAAUAAUACAUAGAGCGGACCCCAACAAGGGUCCCCCUGCCCAGUGUCGUUGGAGCCAAAAGAACGAGACUGAGUUUGGUUCAGAAGCAAAGGAAACUUUAUAUUUUGAUCAGAGAAUGGACAGGAGUUUCCAGGCUGCCACCUGCUAAAGAAGAGGAUGUGUCACCCGUACCUGUCGCUGGAAUUUCUCCCCGGGCAGAGGUGGUCACAAAGCACCGAGCUGAUCUCCCUGUGCUAGAGCUGAUCUCCCUGUGCUAUGCGGCUGCUUCCCAAGGUACCCACAGUGCUCCUCCCAGCUGAACACAAACUCCUCAGCCCUGCACCAGGACACACGGUCAUGGACUCCGCAGCCACAGGAGCCAAACCUGAAAGAACCUGAAGGCCAUCAGAAGCGGAUGCAGAAAUGAACCAUGCACGCUCCUAGGAAGGAAUAUUCCACAGUAAUGGAGUACAUUUUGUUUAAAGAAGGGCGUCCAAAGUAGAAGGAGACCUGCUUCUCCCAAGGAAGAAAAGGAAUAGUUUCUACCAGUGAAAUCGCGAUACCAUGGCUGCUUCAACCAUCAAGCCUGACAACAACUCCCCUGGGAGGGGCACCGGGGCCACGACACUCAGAAGGAGGCUCUGGGGCCUCAGUCCUGGGUCACUGCCUCUGAGGAGCCCACGGCACCUGGUCAAAGUUCUCAGUCAUUCUGUGCACGACCCUUUUGCCUUGGCUGCUCUGGCACAGCUCGGCCGGCACCGUCGCCGGGAGAAAAAGAAGAAACGUGCAGAAGAGGGAACCGGGCUUCAAGCUGACCCACCUCCUUCUACGGAGACGAUGCCACACUCCCUAAGAGAGGACAGCAAGGCCAAAGAAUCCAGCCUCUCUGCCUGAGGCCUGGCCACACUAGCGCCCCACGCUUCUGAUGCCACAGGGAGAAUUUCGCUAGGUGACCUCAGACCACCUGGUUGGACACAUGGGGCUUUCAGACACGCAGGUCCUGUCCGACCCCGCACCUCUGGGGUCACAAUCUGGAGGUGGGCCUGGAAGCCUCCAGGUUUUUGCUUUUGAUAACAUCUUUGUUGACGUUGAAUUUCUUUACCACACAGUUAGUUAACCCAUUUUAAGUAUUAAGCUCAGUUGUGUUUUGCAUACUCACAGGGUUGUGCAGCCACCAGCACAAGGCACUUGACAAAUUUCCAUCAUCCCCCCAGAACCCCACCCUUUAGAGGUCACCCCUCAUUUCCCACAGCCCAGGCAUCCCCAGUCCACUUUCUGUCUCUGUGGGCUUGCCUGUUCUGGAUGUCUCAUGUAAGCGGAAUCCACUAAGUGUCUUUUUCUGUCUGGCCUCUCUCACUGAGCAUCAUGUUUUCGAGGUUCAUCCA